UAUUCGUAGGGGAACCUGCGAAUGGAUCAUUAACAUCAUUAAUUUCUAAAUUACUUUAAGAGUAUUCAUGAGAUUCGUCUCAAAGUAGUCUGAAGUAAAUCUGUUGCCAAGUUGAAGUCUUUUUGAUGGUAAAACAUAACGAGUUGAAUUAAUACUGAAUUGCAAAAUAAAAUGGAUGGUAACAUCUAAUUUUAUAUCUCAAUUUUAAAUUGAAA
rnacentral:misc_RNA from 1 species